UUGGAACCCUGAUCGUCGAAUUGCUCUCGCAAUUGCCUUUUACUCUUUCCUUUAAAAAAUAAAAGAUAAAACGCAGAGCAGGAACCAUA
rnacentral:sRNA from 1 species